rnacentral:rRNA from 1 species
UUGAUUGAUGGUGCUUGCACCUGAUUGAUUUUGGUCGCCAACGAGUGGCGGACGGGUGAGUAACACGUAGGUAACCUGCCCAGAAGCGGGGGACAACAUUUGGAAACAGAUGCUAAUACCGCAUAACAGCGUUGUUCGCAUGAACAACGCUUAAAAGAUGGCUUCUCGCUAUCACUUCUGGAUGGACCUGCGGUGCAUUAGCUUGUUGGUGGGGUAACGGCCUACCAAGGCGAUGAUGCAUAGCCGAGUUGAGAGACUGAUCGGCCACAAUGGGACUGAGACACGGCCCAUACUCCUACGGGAGGCAGCAGUAGGGAAUCUUCCACAAUGGGCGCAAGCCUGAUGGAGCAACACCGCGUGAGUGAAGAAGGGUUUCGGCUCGUAAAGCUCUGUUGUUAAAGAAGAACACGUAUGAGAGUAACUGUUCAUACGUUGACGGUAUUUAACCAGAAAGUCACGGCUAACUACGUGCCAGCAGCCGCGGUAAUACGUAGGUGGCAAGCGUUAUCCGGAUUUAUUGGGCGUAAAGAGAGUGCAGGCGGUUUUCUAAGUCUGAUGUGAAAGCCUUCGGCUUAACCGGAGAAGUGCAUCGGAAACUGGAUAACUUGAGUGCAGAAGAGGGUAGUGGAACUCCAUGUGUAGCGGUGGAAUGCGUAGAUAUAUGGAAGAACACCAGUGGCGAAGGCGGCUACCUGGUCUGCAACUGACGCUGAGACUCGAAAGCAUGGGUAGCGAACAGGAUUAGAUACCCUGGUAGUCCAUGCCGUAAACGAUGAGUGCUAGGUGUUGGAGGGUUUCCGCCCUUCAGUGCCGGAGCUAACGCAUUAAGCACUCCGCCUGGGGAGUACGACCGCAAGGUUGAAACUCAAAGGAAUUGACGGGGGCCCGCACAAGCGGUGGAGCAUGUGGUUUAAUUCGAAGCUACGCGAAGAACCUUACCAGGUCUUGACAUCUUGCGCCAACCCUAGAGAUAGGGCGUUUCCUUCGGGAACGCAAUGACAGGUGGUGCAUGGUCGUCGUCAGCUCGUGUCGUGAGAUGUUGGGUUAAGUCCCGCAACGAGCGCAACCCUUGUUACUAGUUGCCAGCAUUAAGUUGGGCACUCUAGUGAGACUGCCGGUGACAAACCGGAGGAAGGUGGGGACGACGUCAGAUCAUCAUGCCCCUUAUGACCUGGGCUACACACGUGCUACAAUGGACGGUACAACGAGUCGCGAACUCGCGAGGGCAAGCAAAUCUCUUAAAACCGUUCUCAGUUCGGACUGCAGGCUGCAACUCGCCUGCACGAAGUCGGAAUCGCUAGUAAUCGCGGAUCAGCAUGCCGCGGUGAAUACGUUCCCGGGCCUUGUACACACCGCCCAUCACACCAUGAGAGUUUGUAACACCCAAAGUCGGUGGGGUAACCUUUUAGGAGCCAGC